rnacentral:lncRNA from 1 species
CACCUGGAAUAGAUCCACAUGGUACCUUGAGUAGAAAAGGAUGGGUGAGUAGUCCACUAUUUUCACUUACAAAUUUCUAUAUUUAUUGACUUUAAAUGUGGUUAAAUUGUCUUAUUUAAGAAAAAUAUAUCGUUGACAAUAACAGAGUAAUUACACAGUCAUUACUUCAAUCUGGCUAUAUAAAUCAUUGUGAUUUAACCUACAGUAGUAAUAAAAAUAAAUGAUAUUGUUUUUGGUUCAUUACUGCUGAUCUAAUAAAAUGUAAUGAAUUAAGAAAUUUCCUGAGUGAAACAGUCUCAUAAAAAUAACAAUUUACUAAUGGUGCUGUAACACCCAAUGUGAAUGAGUAAAGAAAAAAAUAAGCAUUUCAAUAAAAAUCUAUCUUUAAGAAAAUGUCUUCCCCAUAUUUUUUCAUUGUCUAUUUUCUGGUCCAAAUGCAUAUUUUGAUUGCAUUCAUGGAGAUCAUUACCAGGAACUAUAAUCUCAAAAUGAUGGCUUGUUUAUAUGAAAAUUUUAAUAAAAAUUCCUGGAACUCAUGAGUUUCUGGGUAGCUUAUGUGAAUUUAAGGAGGUGGACAUAUUCCAUCUUCUGGGAAUGCUUAUAUGCCAAGAACUAAUUCUUGUUAAUGAGCCAAUAGUUCUUCACAAAGGAAGAAUUACUUCUCCCUUUGUGGAGUACUGUGAAAAGGCCACCCCAAAAUUCUUCUGAGUAGCUGAUUUCUGACUUGCUUUGUUUCCUUGAGCUUCCUCUCCCAUUCUGCACAUGCACCCAUAAACAGUCACAGCAAAAACACAAGAUCUGGUCUUUCUCAUUCCAGAGAUGAAAAAAUAAUUUCAAAUGUAUGUCUUUAUUAUGAGUUUUCUUUAUAGCAAAAUUACCUGAAUUUCAUUCAAUAUGAUGUUUCUAAUCAUGUCAUUGCCUAUUUUAUGAAAGAUUGAUUUUUUUUUCUUAUUGUAAAAACAAUGAAUGUUAGUUGCGGAAGGAGAGAUGUACAAAUGUCAAUCAACAUCCCACUACUAUGAGAGAACUACUCAACAUUUAGCCUAUUUAUUUACACUCUUUCAUACCACACAUGCUGAUGUGCACACACACACAAAAAAAUUGCCUUACUCAAUUUUUGGUAACUGCUCUUCGCUUACCACUUUUAAUCUCUAUUCCACUAGAUUGGCAGACAAAUGUGACCUCAGUCCUCCCUCAAGCUGCUGUCUCACCAGGCUUUGUCAUGGUUCCUGUGUCAUACAUAGCAAUCGGACACCAAUGAUCCCUCUAGUUAUUCAGUAAUUGAUUCACACAGGAUAUUGCUGAACAGUGAGAAGGACCAAUUGAUGGUGUGAUUACUGACAAAGUCAGUAAGAGUGACAUUCAUGGAAAAUGACAUAAAUGUACCCAAAACCUUUUAUUUUAACUGAAAGCAAAGAAAUGAUGCAUAAGCAUUUGAUAAUAUCUUGGCAUGAGACCAAGGUUUUACUUAUGACUGCUCAUUCUUGAAAGGAUUUUCAUAUCUUCUUUCCUUUGUACUCUACAAUUUCAAGCAGUUCAAGCAUUUCAAACAUUGGUUUCUUAAAAGUGCUAUGAAAGCCUAAAGAUGCAUGUCAUCUAAGAAUUCUUAUUUUUAUAUUAUCCCACACCUUUUAACACUGUUUCACCUGCUCAUAACUCCAUAGCAAUUUAUUUUUCAAAAUUCACCUUUAUUUAAACUUUCCAUCUGUUUCGUUUUUGCAAAAUAACAUUUUUCCAGUAAUUCUGUUUAUAUAACAUUUAAUUAAAUUACUUAAUUAUGAUAAUAGGUUCAAGUGGCAUGAAUAGGUUCUUGCACCUUUAACUGAACUCACUCUUGGUAAGCAAAUGGUUCAACUGGUCAGAGUAGAACUGAGCACACUCAGAGUGUGGGAAUUUAGUGACUAACACAGAGGAAGUAGUUGUAUUGAGUUACUUGACAAGCCGAUUAAAUAAGUUCAGCUAACACAAUUCUUUUGUAUAUUUCUCAUUAAUUGAGUAGAUUAUUUCUGUAGAAAUAUGCUUUCUUCAUCUAAUAUUGUAUUAUACACAUAUCCCAUAGUUUGAAAUAACCUUUAGAAAUUUGAUUUCUUAUGAGUUUCUUUGAACAGCUGUCCCAAAUACAAUUUAAUCAUUCCAUUACUGAUUCAAAUUUCAAAUUUGUCAUUAGCAAUACCUUUCAGGUUAUUGUUAGGAUAAUAUUUACAGAUGUAAUUAUUAAAGUAAAUGUAAUAGACAUUUGUGCAUAAUCAUAACAUACAGUUUCAAACUACUCUUAAGCAGGCAUUAUUUGCACACUUACUUUUAAGGGAGUAACAUGCAGUUUGGGGAUCCCAGUCAAGCAUUAUUAUUUUAUAUAUCUUUAAUAAUUUGAUACAUAAAAUCUUAUUUCUCUUUUAAAUCUCAUUUCUUUUGAUUAAGAAGUGAAACAUUGAAAAUAUUGUUAUUGUUUUCCUUUUGUUGGUAAGAGAUUAUAUAGAGGGUUUUUUUGUUUGUUUGUUUUACAUCCUUCAACCUUUUUAUUUUGAGAGAGGAUGUUGCUAAGUUGCUAAGGCUGGCAUCAAACUUGUAAUUCUCCUGUCUCAACCAACUGAGUCACUAGGAUUACAGGAACACAUCACCAUGCUUGAACUGUCUAUUAUUUUCUUUAUUAUUAUUAUUUUCAACUAAUAUUUUUCAGAAAGUUUUUAUUUUUCUUUAAUUUUGUUAACUUUCAAAAAUGCAUUAUUUAAUACAGUUAAAUCUAUCAGAUGUUUUCUUGGCUUAUUUUUUAAAAAAUCUUUUUGAAAUUCAGCAUUUUGAUCAAACAGACCCCAUAUUUUCUUUUACUUAAGUUGUUGAUUAUAUUAUGAGUUACCUUAUUAAAAAAUAAAUUAAAUAUACUAAAUAUUAUUUAUUUAUUCACUCUAAUUCACCUCACCUUUAUUUUACUUUGUUGAAUUAGUUGUCUCCUGUUUGUAACUGUGACUAUUUUUUAACCAAUGAAUUGUAAUUCUAAUAUUAAUUAGAUAAUGGUCAUGGUUGCACAUUUGUGAAUGUAAUUCAUGCCAUUCUAUUGUACACUGAAAAUGGUUCAAAUGAAAUAAUUUUUGGAUAUGUAUAUGUGCAAGUAUGUGUGUGUGGAAAGAGAGAGAGAGAAAUAUUAAAAAUAACAGAAAUUGGAAAAUAAUUGAGUGAUAUAUAAAGUGAGGAGUUUAUAGUUUUAAAAAAAUACACUCAAAAGAUAUGGUAAUAAAUUCAUAAUUUUGCUUUUCUUUUUUGUACUGGAGAUUGAACUCAGGGGCACUCGCCCAUUGAGUCACAUCCCCAGUCCUAUUUUGUAUUUUAUUUAGAGAUGGGGUCUCACUGAGUUCCUUAGUGCCUGGCUGUUGCUGAGGCUGGCUUUGAACUUGUGAUCUUCCUAUCUCAGCCUCAGGAGCUGCUAGGAUUACAGGCAUGCACCAAUGUGCCCAGCUGCUUUUGAUCUUUUACUUACUUAUUAUUGGACUUGCCAGGAUUUUGGCAAAUUUUUUUGUGUUAAUUUUAUUGAGAGGAUUUGGCACACAAUGAAAAUCAGCAUUUUUUUUUUAAUGCACAAGUCUCUAGGUUGUGGCAAAUAUAUGCCAUAUUCUAACCACUGCAACCAGGACAUGAAACAUAGAUUUCCUCCUCCAAAAGUUCCUUCAGGUCCCUUUGUGUCUUUAAUUAUUUCAUUCAUUUUAUCUAAGUUGUCAAAUUUGUUGGUAUGAUUUUUUCCUAGCUCAUCUUUGUCCAUUCACUUUCUGGAGUGUAUACCUCAAUUCCUCCUUUUUUUAUUUCUUACACUGAUGUUUUGUGCUUUUGUCCUUUUUUUUUUUUUGUAUUGUUCUGCUGUUAGAGAUUUAUCACACAUUUUAAUAAUUGCUUUCCAAAUGAUCAGCUUUGAUUUCAUUGACUUUUUUGUUUGUUCCUGAUUCUCUUUCAUCUCUCUUAUGUUCUUACCCUUACUUUUACUUUCAUUGUUCUUCUUCAUCUAUUUGUAAAAGUGUAAUUUUUGAUUCUGGAGUUAUGACCUUUCUUCUCUUCUAAUGAAGGUAUCUAAGUCUAUACAUUUUCUUUCUUGUACUAUUUUGGGGGCAUCCCACACACUUUGCUAUGCUGUAUCUAUCUUAUCAUUCAGUUUAAACAUGGUCCAAUUUCACAUGGUAUUUCUUAUUUCAUUCAAACAUCAGAAAUGUUAUGCUUAACAUACAAAUAUUUGUGGUGCUUUGGGUUAUAUUUUAUUUUUUAUUUAAUUCUUAUUUGAUUAGGAAAAAAUGAAUCAUUUCAAUCUGCUUAAAAUUAAAAAUCUUGUGUUAUAUCUUAGAAUAUGAUACAUUCAGAUCACUUAACUCUUUUACUAUUGUUCCGUUUAAUGUUCUAUAAAGUAUCAAUGGUCUAAUUCAUUGUUUUAUUAACCAGGUAUUUAUGUCUUUGUUGAUUUUACUUUCAUGUUACUUGACUACUUAAAGAUUGGUGUUAAAAAUCUGAAGCUAUAGUUGUAGCAUUAUCUAUUCCUUUCAUCUGUCAGUGUUUUUCAUCUAUUUUGACGCUAUUCUUGUGUGCUUAUACAUUCGUGAAUUGACAUUUUUCCACUAAGUUGUAUAUUUCUUUAUCUCUGGUACUAUAUUUUGUGUUGAAAUCUGUUUUAUUUGAUAAUAAUAUAGCACUCUAGAGACCUUAUGUUUAUUGUUUGAGAUGUUUUGUGUAGUUUGAGUAUCAGGACAGAAUUAGUUUCAUUAAAGAAAUUGAGAAGUAUUCCCUAUUUGUCCAAUUUUUUAAAGAGUCUGUGAAGUGUUGAUAUUAAUUCUUCUUUGAAUGUCUUGUAGAAUUCACCAGUAAAGCCAUUUGAACCUGGGUUUUCUUUAUGAGAAGUUUGAAAAUGACUGUUUUGAUCUCUUUACUUGAUAUUUACCUGUUCAUAUUUUCUCUUUCUUCAUGAGCCAUUCGAGUAAUUUUUCUUUCAAAGAAUAUUUUCAUUUUAUCAAAACUUUAUGACAUGCUAAACAAUUGCUCAUCAUAUUUAUUUCCUUUUAAUAUGUUUUAUUCUAUUUUUCCCCCCAGGAAUUGAGUACAGGGGUACUUAACCACUGAGCAACAUCACCAGCCCUUUUUAAUUUUUUUUUUUUUUUUUUUUUUAAUUUUGAGAUAUGGUCUACUUUGCUAAGACUGGCUUUGAACUUGUGAUCCUCCUGCCUCAGCCUCCAUAAGGCACUACAGGAUUAUGUGUGUGCACCACUGUGCCUAGCUAAUCUAUUUUAUUUCUAUAAUGUAAGUAGUAAUACUCUUUUUUUUUAAUCCUGACUGUAAUAGUUUGUUUCCUCUCAUUCAUUUUUUAAAUCAGUCUAGCUAAAUGCCAGCCGAUUUUGUGAUUUUUUUUUCCCAAAGAACUAACUUUAUUUUUCAUGGAUUUUUCUUCAUUGUUUUACAUCCUAUUUUCUCUAUUUCAUGAAUUUCCACUCCUGUGAGUAUCAUUUUGUUUCUUCUUCUUUCCUUAGCUUUAUUUUGCAUUUUCUGUUUUAGUGUCUCCAAGCAAAGAGGUAAUUUAUUGAUGAGAGGGUCUUCUUUCUAUUUAAUACAAGCAUUAUAGUUACAUGUUUUUGUCUAAAAAUUGCUUUAGCUGUAUCCCCUAGAAUGUGUCUUGCUGCGUUUGUUUCCAUUUUCACUCAUCUAAAGAAUUUUCUAGUUUUACUUUUGAGCUAUUCUUUGAUCCAUUAGUCAUUUAUUAGUGGGCUGGUUAAUUUCUACCUGUUUGCAAAUUUGCAAACAUUUCUAUUAUUGAUUUCUAACUUAACUUAUUGUGAUUGAUAAAAACACUUUAUAUGACUUCCAUGUGUUUAAAUUUACUGAGUCUUAUUCUGUGGCUUAGCAUUAGUUUCAUUCUGGAGUAUAUAAAUGUGUAUUCUUGAAAAAUACACAUUUGAAAAAUGUAUUCUUAUGCUUUCAGGUGUUGUUGGAAAUGUCAGAUAUAGUUGGUUUGUAGUAUUCCAUUUAUCACUGAAAAAUGUUACUCUUUGUCUAAAGAAAAACAUUUAAAAAUCCACCUCACAUCAACUUUUGUUGUUUUGAAGUGAUUUACACAGUAUAAUUUUACAACCUAUUUUCAAAUUAUUGUUUUUUAUAAACAUAAUAUACCUAAGUUUUAUUCAGUUUCUGAAUAUCUUCCUUUUGAAUAGACCAUUCAAUUCAUUCAUCCUUAAUGUUAUUUCUGAUUUGGUUAAUUUUAAAGUUUUACUUUCGGUUUUACUGUGUGCUCCAUUAUCCCCCCAUCUCCCCUUCCUAUUUAUUGCUUUGCUUUGUAUUAAGUGGAUAAGUUUGUAGUACAAUAUUGAAAAUCCUGUAAUGACAUUUUAAAAAUAUUUUGAAUCAUUUUCUUAAUAGAUGCUCUAGAUUUACAAUAUACAUCCUAAAUUAUCCUAAUCUACUUCAGUUUAUAUUGAUUUUUUUCCAGGGAAAUAUAGAAAUUUUACUGCAUUAUAGCUCCAUUCUCUCCUAAUGUUUUGUGUUCAUAUUGUUAUAUAUGUUUGUAUGUCACAAACCCAACAGUAUACUGGUGUAGUUCUUUUUUUUACAUAAUUGCCUAGUAAAAGGUGAGAAUAAUAAGGGUUAGCAUAUAUUUAGUGUUUCUUAUAUUGAACUUUUAUUUCAUCUCUGUUGAUUCUCUUCUACUUCUGGUUUAAGGUUACCAUGUGUUUUCUUUCUUUUUUUUUUUUUUAAACAGCAAUACCAAUUUGCCUCCACCUACCUUCUUUGUUAUGUUAUUGUCAAGUAUAUUAGAUUAUGUCAAGUAAUUUCAUUAUAUAUAAUGUUUUAAGCAAUUGUUUUCUAAAUUAGUCAAGUAAAGAAAAGAUUUUUAAAAUGUAAUUAUACCAUCAUUGUGUAUUACUUACAUAAUUGCCUUCAUGUUUCCCUCUCUUCCUCCCUCUCUAUCCCCCCGCCCCCCUCAUUCUGUGGCUCUCUCAGGUACCACUUGCUUUAUGUUUGAAUAAUUCUUUAGAACGUGUUGUAAAACAGGCCUCCUAAUAACAGAUUCACUGGUUUUAUAUGAGAAUAUCUUUUGUUUCACCUUCAUUUUUAAAAUCUAGUAUUGCUGAAGAUAAAAUUCUUGGUCAACCAGAAUUUGAGCAUUUGACAUGUCACCCUGGUCCUCUGACCUUUAUUAUUUCUGAUAUGAAGUCAGGUAUCAUUUUACCUUUGUUGUUUAAGAUCUUUCUUUGAAUUUAGCUUUCAAUAUUUUGAACAUAAGUGUCUGGAUUUGAAUUUCUUUGUCCCAUUUGGAGUUCUUUGAGUUUCUUUGUACAAAAAUUAGUUUUCCAUCAAAUUUGGGAAGUUUUUAACCACUGUAUCUUUGCAAGGUUUUUUUCUGUGCCUUUCUUUCCUCUCUGGUAUGCACAUUACAUAUAUGUUGCUAUACUUAACGGAGUCCCACAAUCCCCUGAAGCUCUUUUUAGUUUUCUUCAUUUUUUUUCUCUGUAUUCUUCUGACACAUAAUAUCUUUUGAUAUGUUUUCAAGUUUUAUAGUUCUUUCUCUUUCAAGUUCAAACCACUUGCUAAGAACCCUGACUGAAAAUUUUAUUUCAAUUAUUGCAUUUUGUCAUUGUUAAAUUCCUACUUCAUUCUCUUAAAUAAUUUCCACACCUUUAUUGACAUUUUCAUUUGACAAUAUAUUGUCAUCGUGUUUUCCUUUAGUUCUUUUGAUUUAUUUUAGUUCUUUCAACAUUUUAGUAAGAGUGUCUUUGACAUUUUUUGUCUGCUAAGUCCAUCAUCUGAUCCCUUCAAGGACAGUUUCAAUUGUCUGUUUUAUUCCCUCUGUGAGAGGGUCAUGCUUUCCUGUUUCUUUGUAUGCCUCAUAUAUGUUUUUAAAUUAACAUAUUUCAGAUUGUAUAUUAUAGUGACUGGAUACUGAUUUCCCCAGAGGCUGUCAUUUGUUUGCUUGUUUAUUUAUUUUGUAAAUUGAAUGAAUUCUGCAAAGUAUAUUGUCCCUGAUAUGUGCAGGCUUUGAUGUCUCUAAUUAGAUUUUUCCACUUGUUUUUGUUAUUGUUGUUUAGAUUGACUAGUUACUUAGGUUUUGUCAUGGAUUAGCAUAAGCCACUUAUUAUUCAAAGGAUUUACUUAAGUCCUCCGGUAACCUUAGACUUUUACCUUGUAUCAUGAAUGUAAGGCUUAUAAAUUGGUCAUUGUUCAAGGAGUCUACAUUUUCCCCCUUUAUAUUAAACCAGAAUCUAGAACAUUGGAGAAUUCCUCUCUUAUUACUUACUUAUAAAACAGAUUGUCUUGUACUUUAGUGAAAAGGUGAGUGUGCUUUUAUUUUUAAAUCUGGCUUUCUGGGAGUUGCUUUGGGUGAGAGUGGCUUACUGUUCAGUUUUCAGUAGAGGUUGCUUUCAACCAAUUAUGCCAGUAUGGAUUCAGCCUGAUGUUGAUGAUUCUGUGUGUGGCUAGAGGGACUUUUUCUUAUGUGCACUAUGUCUUACUCUGAUUGGUCCAGAAUGCAUUUAAUGUAGCACAUACACACAUCCUCCUCACCCACCAGAGUUUUUCACUAUCACACAAGGCUUAUUUUUGAUGAUUUCUAUUAACUUCUGCUCUACUGCUUUGCUAUCAGGAUCCUUUUACUGUUUUCACCAAUAUCAUCAUUUUUAAAAAACAAUAUCCUUAUACCGGAGUUCUCUACUUUGUUGCAAAUAAAAUGUUUGGGCAGAGUUGUGAACAUUUUUGUCCUAAUGGUCCAUUUUCACUUUUCUCUCCUGCAGUACAACAUCAGAGCCAAGACCUAUGAUAUGGUUUUUCCAUGAAAAGUACUGAGGACAAACCCUGGUUUUUCUCUGCUUGUUCUUCUGACUUGGAACUUUCACCCUAUGGAUGAGUUUGGUAGGACAAUCAGGAUCCCUGCAUUGUGCCUGAUGCACUUGAAAUAACGUUUCUGCAUGUAAGUAGAGAGUACAUGGAGGAAAGAGGCCUGUUUUUCUCAGCUGCACCUGCCUGGGAUAUAGCUCUUUAACCUAGGGCUAGGAAUACAGUGAUGGGAAACCAUCACUGCAUACUGGGAGCUACUAUGGAAGGAGCACUUUCUUGACCACAUUACAUGUGCCUGGGUCAGAACUUCCAUAAUGCAAUGCUAAAAGUAAGUAAUAAGAAUCCAUAUCUCCUAAUCCAUAGUCUCUUAAUAUUCCUACUGAGAUUUAGCAGAUUUUCUUGAAAAUGUAUUUCUCUCUUUGUUGUAUAUACUUAAGGCAAAUUCCAGAAGCUUGUGAUGAUUUUAUUCAUAAUUUAAUCAGUUAAAUUAUUAUUUCUCAGGGAAGUGCUUCUACAGUAUUCCUUUCUCCCUCUUUUUAGAUUUAUCUUAUUUGGUUCAUCUGGUUGUUUUAUUUUCGCUGAAUUUCUCAUUAUUUUUCUAAGAUUUUUAGACUUUAAAAAUUUAUUUUGCUUUUAUUUAUUGAGAUUAUUCAUUGUAGUCAUUUAAAAAUCUUUGUUAGUUUUGUACAUUUUGUAGUCAAUUGCUUCCCUCCCCGCAUGUGAAUGUGUUCCAGUUUUUUAUUCUUCAUAUAUCCAGUGUUUUUGGAUUAUCCCCUGGACAUCAUGAAUGUUAUGUAAAUUCUGGAUUCUUUUAGUAUAAUCAAAAGUGUCCAUGGUUUUUAUCAGAUUAAUUUUGAGGCUGAGCUUGAACUGCAAAUCCUAUCUUCUGUCCAGCAGAUGCAGUCUCUGCUCAGAUCUUUUGCAUGUAACUAGGCUGUUUAGAUUCUGUUUCUCACAUGCAUAGCUCAAGUGGUCAGAAGGAACUGUGUCUAGACAACAUUUAGGUAUCCUCUCUCUGACUCUUUCCCUGUGAGAAAUUAUGAGAAGCCCUCAUAAUUUCUUGCUUCUCUUCUCUUUUCUUUUUUUUUAUUUUAUAUUUUUUUUAGUCAUAGAUGGACAGCAUGCUUUUAUUUUAUUGUGUAUUUUUUUAUGUGGUGCUGAGGAUCGAACCUAGUGCCUCCCACAUGCAAGGCAAGUGCUCUGUCACUGAGCUACAGCCCCAGCCCUCCUACUUCUCUUUUCUACUUCAGUCUUCACCUCUAAUUCAAAGCAAAUCUAUAUCUAAGACAGCAUUUUCUGCCUUCACUUGUACCACUUUUCUACUUGAACUCCAGCCAGUAUCGCUAAGAUGACUGAAAGCGCCACCCAUCACCACAUUCUCUUCUCUAUCACCAUUUGAUUUGUCCACAACAAACUGUUUUCCACUGAAGAAACAAAAUACAUUGAAAAAUGAACAUAGAUUCCCUUAUUUGCUACUUGAUUUUUUUUUUUUUUUUGUGGUACUGAGGAUUGAACCCAGGGUCUUCUGCAUGCAAGGCAAAUACUCUACCAACUGAGCUAUAUCCCGAGCCCAAAAUAUUCUUUUUUUUUUUUUUUUUUUGAGAGAGAGAGAGAGAGAGAGAGAGAAAUUUUAAUAUUUUUUUUUUUUAGUUUUUGAUGGAUACAACAUCUUUAUUUUAUUUGUAUGUGGUGCUGAGGAUCGAGCCCAGCGCCCCACGCAUGCCAGGCGAGCGCGCUACCGCUUGAGCCACAUCCCCAGCCCCCAAAAUAUUAUUGAUUCACCUAUUCCUUGGGCCAGCACAUAUAUGGCAGCUCUAACAGACAUCAUUCAUGUGCACUCCAGCAACACCUACCCUCAGACUUACACCAGGAGCCUUUCAGCCUCUGCCCUUGAUUUUUGUGGUGCUUUGGGGAUCCACUCAACAUCCCUAAAUACACAUGCAGAACUGCAGGGAUAAUAGUGUCCUCCAGGGGAGACAUUUGACCAGUGGGAACUGGGAAAUGAGAGAUACAUGAUUAGAAGUUAUUUCCCCCCAGCAUUUCCUGGAUAGAAGGUUGAAUGGCAUAUUCCAUAUGGAUUUGAGUAUGUGACAAGAAGUUACCUUUAGUGGUCGUCAAGUUAAUAGUGCCAUGUGUUCUCAUACUGGCUCUUUCUCAUUCUUUCAAUAGUUUCCAUGUUCCUCCUAGCUGCUCUCUGGAAUCAAACUCUCCCCAAAAGCAGUGUAUUUAAGCUCAGUCAUAGAUUCUGCUUUCUGUGGACCUCAACGCAGAUCAGUUUGCUUUUCUGAAAACCUCUUAAGUUUCUAGCACAUUAGGAAUAUUACUGAAGCCACUUUUCCUGACUAAAAAUCCUGCAUGUUCUGACUUCAUGUCCACAAGUACCUUAUGUGUGAUUUUUGGACAUUUGUGUCUCAGUUUCAUGUUAUUUCUCAGAAUUCCCUCAACUGUCCAAUCCUGCAGUUUAAAUCUUUUAUUUCCUAUUGGUCAGUCCACUUAAUUUCUCUAGCACUUACUAUGGUUAACCAUUUUAAAGUUUUUUCUUGAGUUUGUCACUGUUAUGUAAGCUCCUUAAGAUUAGAGACUUCAACUUUAUUGUUCAUUACUGUAUCCUCUUCACCGCUUACAGUGUCUGGCACACAGGAAGCACUCAGUAAAUUUUUAGUCAAAGAGCAAAUGAAUGAAAUCACCAUCUGCAACUUAAUGCCCCAUAUAGGUUAAACUUCCUCUUCACAAUAUUUUCCAAUGCUACUAUCCUUUCUUAUGAUAUCCAUCUCUCUUUUUAUUUAUUCCAUUAUGUUUUCAUCUCAUCCUUCCUUCCCCUUGUGGAUUUGAUCCUGUUUCAUAAGGAGUUAUAUGAGUGAUGCUUGGGUAGCAAGUCCUGCCAAUGAAGAACUUCAACAGCCAUGGCAUAGAGUUUGUCUUUGAUACUGAGGGCUAAAAUAGAUGUUAUCUCUGAUCUGAACUGAAGAUAUCAAAUCAUUCUACAAAAUUUUCUUCUUUCUCUAGUUAAAUUAUUUUAAAAUUUUCUCUUGGAUCUGAAUGGCACUGUGCCCUUCUAAGUGCUCUUCUCCUUUUUUCACAUUAAUGAUUGUGGGUUUUCUUUCAUUCAUUCUCAGAUGAGGAGAGUUCUAUCCAAAUCCGGUGUUUAUCAUGAGAUGCUGAGUUGUAUAUCUAACUUUUCCCCUGAGUCUAGCACAUUCAAAUGCUGUCCUAUACCCAGCUGUAGAUGUAGUCAGUACUUUGAAGUUCAAGAUUUCUAUCACCACCACUGUGUCUACAAUAUAUUCAGUGAGUGGAGGUUAUCCUGACCUGACACGAACUCAUACAGACUUGUUGCCCAACACUGUGUACAGAUGGAACACAUAUUAAAUUACAAUCCUUGGUACGUAUUAUAUUUUCAAGCUUCAUUCUAGCCCUUCAUCCACUAUCCUCCCCGCUUCCUAGCAUUUACUGAGGAUGCUAUAGCUGCUAGGUAUAGUCUACCAGAACUCUGCUUUAAAAAAACAAAAACAAAAACAAAAAAAACCCCAGCAACUUUAUAGUUGUUUUGGUUGGCAUUGACCUUGUGUUUCUGAACCAGGAAAUAGAGUGUGAGGAGAGAGAUGAAAGGUGUUUCUGACAACUUUCAAGAAAGCAGGAUUGCUUCUUUUCUAAAUUAUAACAAGAAAGGGCUAUCAAUUGUUUGUUGCAGUACAGUUUCAUCAGCUUUAAUGGUACUGAAAGUUUCGUCCAGAUUUUGGCAACAGGAUGACAGUGAGCUAUCGUUUUCAAGAUUAUUAUGUUUUUUAGUUUUUCUGUAUCUCAGAUAUUUUAGUAGAAUCCAGUUAAACUGUGAGUCAGAAUCUCAUUUUUUUUAAAAUUCCAUUUGUCACAUUUGAAAGUAUUUAAUCACCCGUGAUGGUUUAAUUUAUUCCUGUUUUUGUUUUCAUCCUAUUUUUCAUAUAUAAUACCCUUCUCAGAAAUAUUUAAAAGUUAGAAGUAUAUGAAACACAUGUAGAAUCUAGACAGAGAACAGAGAUAGCCACAAAACUUAUACAUUUUGAGUUCAUUAUAUGUGCCAGGAAUAGUGCUAAGUGAUUUAUUUUACUUUAAUCUCGUUCUUUGUGGAAGUAAGUAAUCUUAUCACUGUAUCACAUUGAAGAAACUAAGAAAUUAGGUAAUUUAGUCAAGGUACACAGUUAUAUAUUAUUUCAAGUUGGACCUGGAAAAAUUAUGAUCAAGUAGAUCACAUACUAUUAAAUAAUGAUCAUUUCUAACAAACAGCUCUCAGUUUCAUGCUUUAAGUAAAUUAACAGAAAAUCAAAACAACUCUUCAGCUCAUUUAUUUGCGUUUAUUAGAAAGGAUUCCUUUUUUAUUUUGAUACAUGGGUACAUGUAUAAUAUCUAAAUAGGUAAAUACACUUCUACAGCCAAAAGUGAAAGGCAUAUCAACAGCAUCUGUAAAAUUCUGACAGAGCCCUGUAGCAUCCCCUCAUUGUAAAAUUUAGUUCUCUCAUUUCCUGUUCUAUUAAUGAGUGUCUUGUCUAUGGACCAGACACCCAAAUUACCAGUUUGUAAAAGACUACAGGAUACGAAAUACUUACAAAUCAUAAAGAAAAAUCACUAUCCCAUCUCCGUCACAAAUAAAAGUAUAUUUAUACUGUAUAGAGCCCUGGCUUCUCAGGGAUUUUCUUGGAAGGUCUGACUAUGGCAAGCUUGGAGGAAGCAGGGUUUUUUUUGUUGUUGUUGUUUCAAAGAAUGGAGCAAAUCUGGUGAAACUGAAAGCAGGUGCCAUGGGGCAUAUGUAUGGAAAUUCUCCAAAAAAAAAAAAAAAAAGCACUGGAGUUAAAAUUGUAGGAACUCACUGUGAGUCAGCUCAACAGAGAGAGUUGAGCUAAAAUGGCACUGAUAGGCUGAGAUUAAAAUGAAUAAAUGGAGUGACUCCUGCUAAUGGAAAGCUUUGAAGAUAGUAGUCAGAGUUUCUCUUUGAUCCAAAGGGAUUGCCCCUGAACUUAAUGAAUAGCCUCUUCCUCAGGCAGUGGGGUGGCUAUUUGGGGAUGUUCUGACACUACUCCUCCUGGAAUGCUGGCAAGGAGCAAAAGGGAGGGGAGACAAGAGGCCACUAAAUUCAAUGAGGAGAGGAAGGCUGUCCAUUCUCAAGUCACUGACUUCUACACUUCCUUCACCUGUUUGUUGAGGGUCGUUUCAUUUACUUGCUGUUUCCUUUUCCACUGCUCAGCAUUUCUCUCAAGUACUGCUUAGCUAUUGAGUGUGACACUUGCUGUGUAAGAUAAGCAGUUGGGGGAGAAAGUCUAUGUAUUGAAGGACAGUAGGCAGUGUUUAGUAAGUUAUUCUACUCGUGCAUGCAUAAAAAAUUCAUUGACCAGGAAGGGUUAAUGCCCCUCCAAAUGGCUUAACUUAAUCCUCAAGUGCAAUUGGCUCAUUCAAAAGAUCUGGCCCAUUGAGUGCAUGUUAGCAGAGAAGCCAUACACCUCUCCACCAAGUCCAGUGCAGUGAGGUUAAACCCAAGGGCAUACAACAGAUCAGUGGCAGAGGCAGGAAUAAAAUCUCAGCCUUCUGAGCUCCCAUAAAGUGCUCUCUCUACUUGACUUGUUUUCCUUCUCUUAUGAGGUAUGAGAAGAAGAAAAUUGAAGAUGAGAGAAAAAAUUAAGGAAUCAAUUUUUUAAAAAUAUAUAUAUUUUUUUUUCAGACCCAUAUGAGAAAGAAAUGUGGAAACAAAUGAAAUAUACUUUAAGAGCAAGUUGGCGCCACAUUUAUAAAUGCUUAUGAUACAGAAUAGCAAUAGAAAAAGCAAGCGUCCCUGUUGUAGGAUUAUGCAUGAAAUGCUCCUAUGCUUUGCAGUGUGAAUAUAGUCAUUUCCCUUUGAUCAACUCAAGAAAUAUUAAAAUGAACAUUGUUUCUGAAUUACAUAUAAUAUACAUAUAUUAAAAAUAUAUAGAAAGAGAAAUUUAAUAUAAGAAAAUAUUUAGGAAGAAGAGAGCUUUUAAAAAAGCAAAGAAUUGUAACUUAUAUGCAAUAUGGAUGGUAGAGAGAUUAAAAACUCAGGAUUGAAAAUCAAAGGACUGUUUGCAUUCCUGCUUUGUCGCUUUUGUAGUAGUUUUAGUCAGCUGUUGCUAUGACCAAAAGACCUGACAAGAACAAUUUUAAGAAGGAAAAUUGCCUAUGAGAAUUCCAUAUGACAGUGGUUCAUUUGGGAGCUCACAGUUACAGGGGUCUCCUCUGUGUGUAGCCUACUCCAUUCUUUGGAGCCUGAGAUGAGGCAGAACAUCAUGGCAGAAGACAGUGGUGGAGAAAAGCAGCGGGUAGUAUGGCACUAGGAAAUGAGAGAGUGAGAAGAAGAGAGAGAGAGAGGCAGAGUCCCAUUCAACAAAGACAAAAUAUAUACCACAAAUGCACACCGAUAGUUACCCACCUCCUCCAGCCAAACUCUACCUACCUACAAUCACCACCAAGUUAAUCCCUAUCAGGGGAUUAAUGUGCCAAUUAAGUUAAAACUUUCAUAACCCAAUCAUUUCAUCUCUAAAUGUUUUUUUUUUUAAAGAGAGAGUGUGAGAGAGAGAGAGAGAGUGAGAGAGAGAGAGAAUUUUUUAAUAUUUAUUUUUUAGUUUUUGGCGGACACAACAUCUUUGUAUGUGGUGCUGAGGAUCGAACCCGGGGCACACGCAUGCCAGGCGAGUGCGCUACCGCUUGAGCCACAUCCCCAGCCCCUCUAAACGUUCUUGCAUAAUCUCACACAUAAGCUUUGGGGGGACACCUAAUAUCUAAAUCAUAACAAUAAUAUUGAUCAAAGUCUUAAUAUAUAAAACCUCAGGUUCUUUAUCAAGGGAUAUUGGAAAAAUAGUAAAAUUAGUUACUUCAUAAUAUUCUUGAUUUUUAAAUGAGGUAAUACAUUUAAAAUACUUAGGAUAGUGGUUGGCAUUAGUGGACGGUCAACAACAAUGAGCUCUUAUUGUAACUUACCAAAGCUCUAACUUGAGACUAUGGUAAUAUUAGAGAGAUAUUAGUAGUUUUCAUAUGUACUUUUUGCAUGUGUUUGUGUGACCAAAGGGGUUUGACCCAGUUGUCACACAUUCUAGCAAUUGCUUUGUCACUGCAAUAUGUACUUCUGAUAGGCAAAAAUAGAGUAAGGUAAUCAUGAGCAUGUUAUUUGUAGAACCAGAAAAAAAAAAUGAAGAGAAUUUUAUCAAACAAGAAUUCAAGUCAGAACAUAUAAAGACAUACAAGAAAACAGAUGGAACCAACUUAUGGAGCAUGACUUAGGUUUUCAGAACAUGACAAAUAUCUGCUUUAAAAACCUUUUAAAAAGGUAUAUCUUAAAUUAUAAUGCUACACAUCUGUCUCUCUUCUAUCUCUAGUUCUAAAACAAUAUGGUAGACACUGGAAAAGCAGACUUUUAAGUGUGAUUAUUUAAAACAAAUAGGUAAUACCUAUGGAAGAGUCAAGAAUUAUUUUAAUAAGGUUUAAUCAAAAGAUAAUUCAGCCAGGUGCAGUGGCACAAGCCUAUAAUCCCAAUAGCCUGGAAGGCUGAAGCAGGAAGAUUACAAGUUUAAAGCCAGCCUCAGCAAUUUAAGGAUGCCCCAAACAACUUAGCGAGGCCCUAAGAAACCUAGUGAAACCCUGCCACUGUGGGUCAGUGGCUAAGACUUCCUCACCACCAAAAAAGAGACCCUUUUAAAAGAUUUCUGCAUCAAGGUUAUCGGUACAAUUGCUCAAACUCUGUAUUUUCAUGAUCUAGUUAAUUUAAGACAUUAACCCAGGUCACAGCUAUAGAGAAGUCCCAUCUUCAUUUAGUGACCAUGGGUCCUACCCCUGGCUACCCAGACUUUUGACCAAAAACCUAUUCUUUUCCUACAACAAUAAUCUGUGAAAACCCAUAAUACUUUAGGUAAAAUUGUGUGUGUGCAUGAGUAUAUGCCUAUAUAUUUCUUUGGGAAGAGGGCAUAUAGCAUGUACCAGGUUCUUGAAGGAAUACGUGACAUCAAAAAAGUUGAGAACCUUAACUAUGUGGGGUCUUCAGUUUUGUCCCAAUUUUUCUGAUCAAAGGCUUCAUUUUGCAAUUUUAAUGGCUUCUGUUUCUAAUCCCAUAACCUGACCUAUUCUGUACCCACAACACACACACACCUUAAUUAUCUUACCACUGUUUUUUUUUUUUUUGUCUUAUCCAAUAAUCUCAGUAAACCAUGGCCAAGUACUGAUAGGAUUUUUCUUCUUUGAUAUUUCAUGCUCAGCUUCUGUAGCUAAGUGGACAUCAGGCUUACAGACUGAGGACAGAAACAAAAGAAGGGUUUCUUCACUUCAAGGAGUUAAAAGAUAGAGUCCAAAAGAGAAAACAGUAGGGCUGACCUGCACUGAAUCACAUCCUGUAUGAUACUGAUAUUGAACUUUUUAUGGGCUUAUGUCAUAACGUCCAUAUUUUUCAUGACAGGGAAGAUAUAGUUUAGAUGAUAUAGUACAGUCACAGUUUAUAGCCCCUGCAACAUCUAGAAGAAUGCUGUGUGAUACAGGGAACAGGUAAAUACCGGGAGAUUAAUUUGAUCAUAUUCUUCCUCUCUACUUUCCCCCUUUUAGUCUUUUCGCUCUCAGCCUUAACAAACCUAUUUCUCUAUAAUUUUUAAUAAUAACACUUACAUGAAAAUUUAUGUUUUAUAAAACCAUGAUAGGAAUGAUACUUUUCUUCUUUUUUAGUAUGUAGCACUGACUUUUCUCCUGACAUUGCCAGUAAUGAUUACCUAGAAUUUAUUUCACUAUUUCCAAUUUGAAAAGCACUCUUCUAGGUUCUACUUUUCAAAGAAUGAGAGAAUUAAAAAUCUAGUGGUUGAUUCCACUGGAUUGCUACUUUUUUUUUUUUUUUUUUUUUUUUUUUAGGCGGGGGGGGGGGGGGUUUUUUUUCAUGGAGAACCCACGGUUCCCCCCACCCCUCACAGUCCCAUGUUAAAGAAGUUCUGUGUCAGUGGGUCUCACUGCCCACUCUGAAAAGAAGAUUUUGCAUUUCUGUUCCCACCUUCGAGGGUUUGGUAAUGUUUCGGUACAAGUUGGUUGUCAAAAUGGAUGGACAUGCUGCUGGUGCCUAUUGUGGAGAUCCCACAGUGCAAAAGAUAGCCCUGGGGAACAAAGAAUUACCUGAUUCAAGAUGUCUGAGUGCUGAGGUGGAGAAAGGCUGCCCGGGAUGAGGUCCUCAGCCUUGCUCCCCAUCCCUUCCCUUCUCUUUGUGGGACAGGAGCAGCUUAUUUGGUUUGCAAGGGGAAGGCAGAAGUGCUUGCUGCAGCCUGUCCUUUGCUUUUCUCUCUGGAAUCUGACAGCCUACAGAGAAGGUGGAUUCCCACCUGCUGUCAGCCAUGUGAUAAAGUUGGUGGAGCAGGCUGUGCUCCUACCACUGCAGAGGGCAGGGGUUUUGUUUGUUGUCUGUUUGGUGGUAAUGGGAAGGGGGGUGACUUCAAUUCAGAGGAGCCUUAGCAAGCCUAUUAGGACUUAUCUAAGCCAUGUCCUUCACUAUGGCUUUUAUCAGUAAUAAAGCUGACAUUUUGAUCUCUAACUGUCUGACUCCUGUAUCAUUCUCUGUAAAUUGGUUCUGAUCUCAGGUUGGGAGCAGUGGUGUUAUUUUUGACCCCCUAAAACCCAAAAUCCGUUACUGUCUGAUGGUUCAGGAUCUUAAUGGCUUACCUCCAGGACUCUUGGCUUUUUGUGUCAGAGGAUCUCACUCAGACAAAGAUGGCCAAAAUAUAAAAAUUGACUAAUUAAUGUAAGAUUCACACGUAUUAGGGCUGAAAUUUUCAAAACAGGACCAUCAGAUAGCAGUUACAAGUCUUCCUUUCUGAACAGAAAAUGCUUACUUUUCCUAUUGGUGAUAUAAAAGAAAAUUUAUUCCAAAGAUGUGUCUAUGGGAUUAUUAUUAUUAUUAUUAUUAUUAUUAUUAGUAGUAGUAGUAGUAGUAGUAGUAUUUAGAAAAUAGCAGCUAAUUCCUUACUCGGAUAGUAUAAGAAAUCCUGAAAUAACAAGUAUUUUAUAACCAUAUCCAUGACUUUAUUUUACUUGUAAUAGAUAGGCCAACAAAAAUUGAAUAUUGGAUAAUAAAAUACAAAGAAAAAGAGGAAAAAAAUCCAAUUUAUAGCUGAAAGUGGAGGAGGGUAACUUAAAGUUGUGCAAUUGAAUAUCAUAGUCCUAACAUGAAAUAGUUUAGAAAAUAUUGUCACAAAGAAAUGGGAUUGAUCAUUUAAAGCUGCACACAAGACCUAGGUCUCUGGUUUUUGUCAUUCCCAUGUGUGAGAAGAACUUAGUAUUUCAUGACACUGCAAAGGUCAAUGACAUUUUAAGUGAUGUGAAAAGGAAGAAUGCAAUACAUGACAAAGUCAAACACCCUACAAUUUUCCCAAAGUGUGCUUGAUGAGUCAGGAUGAACUUAGCAAAAUUAAGAUGUAUCUGGGGCUCUGAUGCAGGGUCCAGAGCCAUUCUCAGGGGUCCCUAUGCUCCCUGUAGUCAUGAGGCGAUACAAACUAUCAGAAGAUUCACCUUCACAAUCUCAUCCACAAAGAUCAGAGAAAACGGAGAAUUACCUAGUGUUUUUUAACUCUUCUUCCCCAAAUGAGAUGCAUGUCAGGUCUGUCUUAAGUGAACCAAGGACUACACCUAACUUCAAAGGUGAUGGUAAUCCAACUUUGUGGAAAGGAGAGGGGAACUUGAAUCCUGUGAGUACUACCCUAUUUUUACUGACAAUCACAUAGGCAUGACCAAAAUUCUAGAGGAAACGCAUUGUAAUUCAUAGAAUACACCUUUAAGUACAUUUUUCAUCAACAAUAGUUUAUAAAGCACCCCGAGUUUAAGGAAUAAUUAGAAUAUCAAAAAAUACUUAAGCAUAAGCAUAGUUUCAUCCUCGUAUUUUUGUAUGGCACAGUGUUUAAUAUUUAGUGUUUCAGUCUCUCUGAGGUCUCCACAGCCACAACGAUUCUUCCCUCUGUUCAUGUCAAGCAUUGCAUGUAUUAACACGGUGUGCCGUGUCAUCCAGGAAGACCUGAGCACUGAAACCCCAUGUUCUCAAAGGUGCCCAGGCUCAGUUGCUCAUUGUCCCAACAGUAUUUUCCUAAGAACAUCUUAAAGGCACAUACUAAUGUUCUUCUUGCUGCAUUUUUUGACAAUCUUUACUUGAAUGGUGAUAAAUUUGGAGAGAGUACUAUAGGUAAUGAUAGCUACUGCACAAAGACUUCAGGGAAAUGAAAGAUUUUUUUUUUUCUUUUAAACUUGUUGGGAAACUUGCUAUCCAAGUCAAAUUUCCAAAUAAUUUUAAGAACAUUGAAUACAUAAAAAUAACGCUUAGAGGACUCAGGAUCUAUUUUAGACUUUGUGUUCUUGGACACAUCUUUGAACCUUUCUGAUCCUUGUCUCUUUUCUCAUUAAACAAAAAUAGGGGGUAAUCCUGGCAAUCCAUGUUGUCUUUGCAGACAUGGUUCUUAUGAAUCUCAAAUGUGGUCAUUUCUCUGGAGGUACUUUUGAUAGUACGAAGGUAGAGUGAGGAAGUGCUAGAGAAUAAGGAAGAAAGAGGAGGCAGAGGAAGUGUAAGUAGAAAAGAAAAAGCAGGGCAAAGAAGAAAGAUGAAGAGGAAAAGGAGGACAAAAUAAUGACCACCGUGCCAAUGAAAAGUAUAUGACAGCAUAAAAGCAAAUUUGGACUCGGAAAUAGGAGAUAGUAAGAUUUCAUGAACACUGCCCAAUCCUAACAGUGGGUAAAGACCACAAUUUUCCAAACACCCUUUGAGAACAGAAAGUUUAUGAUGGUUUUAAUGUGAUGUUCUAAAUCAUAACUUUCUGCCAUUAAGCAAAUGUUCCAUGAUAAUGUGGUGACUUUAUACCUUUCUUGUUUAAUCAUCUAAAUCUAGGCAUUCUUAGAUAUCUCUAUGCACAUGAAGUGUAUUACUCUACAAAGUCUUUAGAGAUACUGGAUACUUGGAUCAGACAAAUCCUUGCUUUGUUCUUUAAAAGUGAUAAUAGAAGCACUGGAAGCAUUGGGAUCGAGGGAAUUAGAGGAAAUGCUCAUUAAAACAAAUUUAAAAGGUCUAAUGAUUAAAAUAUUGAUUAAUUAGCCAAACAUUGAUUAGCAGUCACACUUUAUCAACUACAAAGUUUCUAAUUACUGCACCAUUAUUCCAUAGAUUGACCUGUUCUUUCUUGUCACUUAUGAUGAAGAACAAUUUUUAUUAAGUGGGUUUUGGAUUUUUGACCUGUAAAAUUUUAAUAGGGAGUGCAAAGUGGGUGUCGUGUGUGGUUUGGCAUUUUAUUCACCAAGGGAUAGAUAGUUACUGUCUCUAUUUAACCAGAAGCACAAAAGUGCAGAAGGGACAUGACCACUUUGGGAAUAAAAUCUUACCAUCUUCCCAAUAAAGGAAAAAUAGCCACAUACUCAUCCAUUGAGUAGAAAAAGAAGAAAACAUUUUCCUUUCUGGCUGCUAUGCAGAGAUUGGAUGGUAGGAACUCUCAAGCAUAGUGUAUCAAUUACAGGUUGUCCAGAAUUGGGGAGUCAUUAUGUGUAAUAUAAAAUAAAGGAUUGGUUAUGGAGUUAAUUGUAUGGUAUUUGAGAACUGGUUAAACCAGGUGUAGAAGCUGUUGCUUCUACAUCUGCUACUGAGCAUGAUCCGAGCAGGCCAGACAGCUGGGAAUUAAUGAAGGACCAGAAGUAGGGGGGAGCAAAGACAAACUGGAACUGGCAUCCGUCUUUCUUCUCCUCCAGUUCAAUAGUGCAGGUGACUUGCAGCUGAAGCUGGUGCUGUUCACUGUGGAGCUGCCCAAGCACAAGGGCUGGGAUUCAGAGAUGCUGAAAGAGGAGAUUCUACUGGAGCUGGAGUUGCUUCACACCUGGCCACUGCCCCUUAUCAACAAGGCAAGUCAGCAGAUGAGGAUGAAGAGUGCAGACUUCAACAAACAUUCAGGAUGCAGAAAAGGCUAUUCCUGUGCUUUGAAAUCUUUGUGCAAAUUUUCUCCCAUGGCCAACCCCAACCCAUCAUCAUCAGGAAAAGCAAUUCUGGGAAACAAAGCUCUAGCUUAACUAAGUUGGCACGGUACAAAGCCAUCACAUAAAGCACAAAAGAUUCUACCCUGCAGUAUUGCAGACACCAGCAUCCAAACUCAGGAAAAAAAUUGUACAUGAGAAGACAUCAAGGCACAGCUGCCACUUUGAAGGAGGUCCACCACAAAACCAGUAAUAUUUUUUCCUUUUAGUGAGAAUUCUUUUUUACAGAUGUCAAGCAGGAAAAAGGUAACCAAAAAUGUUUCAAAUGGGACCAAUGAAAAUAACACAUUUUUAAUAACUGGGCAAUUUCUGGACGUCUUGCAAAAGAAGAUCUUGUUGAUCUCAAUAACAGUCUAUUUAAAUCUGCUGGGAUGUGCAGUGCAUGUGUCCUGAUUCACUAAUAGCAAAGGCCAGUAUGCCAUACAGGGUUACAGUCUCAAUAGAACUGUCUGGAAGCGCUGCUCCAGGUUCACUCCUGAUGAAAUUAGCUUGAAGGCCAGAAAGCAGAUUUACAGCAUGAACAUAAGUGAGCAGGGGGCACAUUUUUUUUUGAGCAUACAUAUGCUUGACAGGCAGAAUGUGCUUAUAACCUUAUUGCCAAAUAAGUAACAGCACAUAAGCUCCUUGUGGUCUAUGGAAAAUGACAUCCUGAAGACAAGUCAGCAGAGCACUAGGCUGACAAUAUCUGCAGCAGCCAUAAUCAGGAAAGGAACAAGAUGGAGGAACUCCUUCCACAAGGGAGGGACUCCUUUGGGCUUGGCUUCUUGGUUCCACUGAGAGGCUGGCCAUGUUUUAGAAACAGCUAGUUUAUUCAGAAACAUUUGAAAGGAGAACUGGCAUUAUGCCCAGAUGAAAAAUACCUCACCUGCUUCUGUGUGGGAAGAAGCAAGAAAUAAAGAGAAUAAAUACUGGGACUCUGGGAGCUGCAGGAACAAGGCUAGGGUAGGAAGAGUCCCUCACAUUCCCCCCAUUUUAUGUGGAAUAGCAUGUAGGAAGGACAGACUUUUUUUUUCCUAUUAGCUGUUUGAUUGUUCUCAUGUAAUUUAGUAAUAAACUUUGUAUUUUUGGAAUGGGAUAACUACUGGACAAUGUGAAAGAAGUGUUUAGAAAACUAACUGGAUAAAUCAGAUCUUAAUGUGUUAUAAAGUUGUCUGACACUUCAAAAAAGGUUUUGUUUUGUUUUGUUUUUCUCUGAUUCUGACUUACAAUUUCCUAUUCCAGACCAUUUAGAUUUGCAUAUAUAACCAUAAUAAUGUAGCAAGAUAUGCAAUUAAAUGGCUACUCUUCACUGUGUUACUGGCUGCAAGUCUAAAUAUAUAUAGAUGAGCAGUCACCAUACCACCUCACAGGGAAGAGUCUUAGUAGUUUACCAUCUUUCUAGUGAAAAUAUGGGAAAAUAACAAAGAAGUAACAUAAAUUUUACAUUACACAAAUUUUAAAAUUUAUGUAAUUUAUUGGCUACUGGGAUUGUGAUAUUGGGAAAAAAAUUUUUACUUUGGG